UACGGGGGGGGCAAGCGUUGUUCGGAAUUACUGGGCGUAAAGGGCUCGUAGGCGGCCAACUAAGUCAGACGUGAAAUCCCUCGGCUUAACCGGGGAACUGCAUCUGAUACUGGCGAUCUCGAGUCCGGAAGAGGUGAGUGGAACUCCUAGUGUAGAGGUGGAAUUCGUAGAUAUUAGGAAGAACACCAGUGGCGAAGGCGGCUCACUGGUCCGGUACUGACGCUGAAGUGCGAAAGCGUGGGGAGCAAACAGG
rnacentral:rRNA from 1 species